GGAGAAGGAGAAGGGAAUAGGCAGCUGAGUGGGGGAAGCACUGGCCCAGGAACCUUCACCUGGAGAAAACCAGCAGAUAACUUUUGAGAGAUGAUAUUUGUGAGAGGAGAGAAUAAAGUGAAAGAAACAAGAGCUCUCAGCAAAAUGGUGAUAACAACAUCUACUUUGGAACUGUUCUGAGGAUCACAUAGGGAGGCACAAUUGAAAUUGUGGAUUAUAAAGCACGAAUCAAUGAUGCUUUUUCUCUCCAUUUCUUCACAUACAUAGAGCUAAAGAGGUCCCAGCUCCAAGAUGAGGAAACUGAGGCACAAAAGAGGCUGUGUUACUUGUUCAAGGUCACAUAGCCCAUAGUGGUGGGACUGGCGGGAUCUGAUCACAAAUAGCCUGGGAACAGGAGGAAGAGCAGGUGCCUCCAGAGUCACAACAGUAGUUCAAGCAGUUCUUCGGUGCCAUGGCCCUCCCUACAAUAAAGGAGGAAAUGAUCUGCACCUUUAGAAAGAGAUAGGGGGAGAAAAGAUGGACUUUCUGAAUCAGAUUCUGUGAAGGGGGAAAAUCUCUUUGAAGAACAGCAGAGAUACCCCCUUCAAAUGGCCAGGCAGAACCGCGAUAACCUUGAAGGAGCCACUGCUGUGCACUGUAGCCUUUCCCACUGCUGCCCUCAGCCCAGAAGGCGUGGGUCAGUGAUGGGCUCUCAGAUGCUCCCCAAGUGGACUGUUUCAGCCAUGCUCGUUUUUGCAGGGGCUACUUUUCAGGGCUAAUGUUAGCCCUACCCUGAUUUUCCCUUUUCCCUUUCUAAGUUAGCUGCUAACAUCUAGAAUUCUCAAGACAAAGAUGAAGGGUUUGGGGGCCUCCACUUUCAUUUAAAAGCCAUUCUGUGCAGAGAGAGGCCUCUUCCUACCUAGGAAAUGCCAACCUGCUGGAAGCAGGGAAAACUUGGUUUCAUAGCACCGUGAAGCAAACACCCUCAGAAGUUUUCAUCUAAUAUCCAACAUUCUCAGAGAUAGGACUGAAAAGAGCCCAGUGGGAUAUUUUCCCAGCCACCUUCCUGGUUUUUCAUUUGCCUACCUUAGG